CGAACGCUGGCGGCGUGCUUAACACAUGCAAGUCGAACGCGAAAGGGACUUCGGUCCUGAGUAAAGUGGCGCACGGGUGAGUAACGCGUAGAUAACCUGUCUUCAUGUCUGGAAUAAUACGCCGAAAGGGGUACUAAUACCGGAUAUUCUUGCUUUUUCAUAAGUUAUGCAAGCAAAGGUGGCCUCUGCAUAUGCUACUGCAUGAAGAGGGGUCUGCGUACCAUUAGCUAGUAGGUGGGGUAAUGGCCUACCUAGGCGACGAUGGUUAGCGGGUCUGAGAGGAUGAUCCGCCACACUGGCACUGGAACACGGGCCAGACUCCUACGGGAGGCAGCAGUGAGGAAUAUUGCGCAAUGGGGGAAACUCUGGCGCAGCGACGCCGCGUGAGUGAGGAAGGCCUUCGGGUCGUAAAGCUCUGUCAAGAGGAAAGAAGUGUACAAUGGCUAAUACCUGUUGUAUUUGACGGUACCUCUAAAGGAAGCACCGGCUAACUCCGUGCCAGCCGCGGC
rnacentral:rRNA from 1 species